AAGUCGUAACAAGGUUUCCGUAGGUGAACCUGCGGAAGGAUCAUUAACACGUAUCCAAACGUUAAACCCCCCUGUGAACCUUCAGUCGUACUCGUACGUCCGUUAGAAAAAGCAGCAAUCCCUGGUAAAUGCAAGGAGCGUGCAUGGUGUGCGUGUAAGUGGCCUGGCAUCCCCAAGCAGUUAGUGUCUGAAAGUGUCACUAACGUUAGUGUCUGAAAGUGUCACUAACAUGUGUAAGGAUGACGCAGUCACGAUCGUUGGAGGCCCACACGGCCGACGACCGGGUCACUGGGUGCAAGCCCCCUUAUCACACCCCUGCUCUAUCUAUGGUGAUCCUGCGGGAAGUCCUGCGGUCGAACGCCGAAACCGAACAACUGUUAACAAUGGAUAUCUUGGUUCUC
rnacentral:misc_RNA from 1 species